GCAGUCGAGGGGUAGAAAUAGCUUGCUAUUUUGAGACCGGCGCACGGGUGCGUAACGCGUAUGCAACCUACCUUGUACAUAGGGAUAGCCCAGAGAAAUUUGGAUUAAUACCUAAUGGUGUUAUGAAUCGGCAUCGGUUUAUAACUAAAGAUUUAUCGGUACAAGAUGGGCAUGCGUCCCAUUAGCUAGUUGGUAUGGUAACGGCAUACCAAGGCUACGAUGGGUAGGGGUCCUGAGAGGGAGAUCCCCCACACUGGUACUGAGACACGGACCAGACUCCUACGGGAGGCAGCAGUGAGGAAUAUUGGUCAAUGGGCGCAAGCCUGAACCAGCCAUGCCGCGUGCAGGAUUAAGGUCCUAUGGAUUGUAAACUGCUUUUGUACGGGAAGAAACAACUCUUCGAGAAGAGUCUUGACGGUACCGUAAGAAUAAGGAUCGGCUAACUCCGUGCCAGCAGCCGCGGUAAUACGGAGGAUCCAAGCGUUAUCCGGAAUCAUUGGGUUUAAAGGGUCCGUAGGCGGCCUUAUAAGUCAGUGGUGAAAUCUCACGGCUCAACCGUGAAAUUGCCAUUGAUACUGUAGGGCUUGAAUGGCUGUGAAGUAACUAGAAUAUGUAGUGUAGCGGUGAAAUGCUUAGAUAUUACAUGGAAUACCGAUUGCGAAGGCAGGUUACUAACAGUUUAUUGACGCUGAUGGACGAAAGCGUGGGUAGCGAACA
rnacentral:rRNA from 1 species